UACGUAGGUGGCAAGCGUUGUCCGGAAUUACUGGGUGUAAAGGGCGUGUAGGCGGGAGCGCAAGUCAGAUGUGAAAACUCAGGGCUCAACCCUGAGCCUGCAUUUGAAACUGUGUUUCUUGAGUGCUGGAGAGGCAAUCGGAAUUCCGUGUGUAGCGGUGAAAUGCGUAGAUAUACGGAGGAACACCAGUGGCGAAGGCGGAUUGCUGGACAGUAACUGACGCUGAGGCGCGAAAGCGUGGGGAGCAAACAGG
rnacentral:rRNA from 1 species